UACGUAGGGUGCAAGCGUUGUCCGGAAUUAUUGGGCGUAAAGAGCUCGUAGGCGGUUUGUCGCGUCUGCUGUGAAAAUCCAGGGCUUAACCCUGGACCUGCAGUGGGUACGGGCAGACUAGAGUGCGGUAGGGGAGAUCGGAAUUCCUGGUGUAGCGGUGAAAUGCGCAGAUAUCAGGAGGAACACCCGUGGCGAAGGCGGCCGACUGGGCCGGACCUGACGCUGAGGCGCGAAGGCGUGGGGAGCGAACGGG
rnacentral:rRNA from 1 species